rnacentral:lncRNA from 1 species
CUCAAAAGGCGAUGCUUCCUGAGAACAGCUGGAUCUUGAGUCUAUUUCAGACAACAUCCUCAAGCCCUGGGACCCUGGGAGCAUCUCCUUACUUUUUCUAAUAUUUGUGAGCCAUUUCCCCACCCCCUGCUUCUUUCUGCAUGCAUUUGCAUCAUCCAUCUCUGACUUCUUUCUAGGAGGUAGAGGCCUGCUGUUCACAGUAGAAUUUCCCUGUGAUUGGCCACCAUCAGCGCCCACACGCCUACAGGGUCCCGAGGAAGAGCCCAUGUGGACACCUCAGCCCUUACACUGGACCACUUUUGGUGGUCUCACCAGCCAGCCAUCAUCAGGGAGGAGUCCAUUCUCAGGCCAGGCCCUGCCGUCACCCCACAGCAGCCCUGCCAUGGCCCUUCUCUCCUCAAUGGCCUUCGAGGGAAAAGGAAGAAAUGUGUCUUGGCUGGAGGCCCACGUUUCGUUCCAGCACAUCCUUUUUACCAAAAGAGCCGUCCCUGGAGCUGCCAACAGUGUUUACAAGAAAACCAUCCAACAAUAGUUUGGAUCUGGGAGCAUGGCCUGACCAUAGACGUGGCCUUCCCCACCCUGAGAACCAACCAUCAGGAAGCCUGGCACAUGAUACGAAAAGGCAGAGAUGCAGAAACAGACGCUGUGCAUGUCCCUGCAAGACUGAUACAAGAUGACUGAGAAAUGUCAUCUGAGAGAAGGGGAAGAACCAGCCCUACAUUAAAAAGGUAAAGAAAUAGAAGAAAAAAAAUCAUGAAGUCAGUGUGUAAUUAUAGUUGAUGCAUAUAUUGUAUUUUAUAAUGCCACCUGACCUGCCUCUUGAGAAAUCUGUAUGCAGGUCAGAAAGCAACAGUUAGAAAUGGACGUGGAACAACAGACUGGUUCCAAUAGGAAAAGCCGUACGUCAAGGCUGUAUAUUGUCACCCUGCUUAUUUAACUUGUAUGCAGAGUACACCAGGAGAAACGCUGGGCUGGAUGAAGCACAAGCUGAAAUCAAGAUUGCCAGGAGAAAUAUCAAUAACCUCAGAU